CAUAAUUCCUCAGCAAUGUUUGCUCUGGACACAUGGAACAGGAAAGAGCAGGUAAGAUGAGCUGGAAAACCUUUUAUUUUCUUCUGCCUCUCUAGAACUUGAGAAAUGUUCGUUCACUUGGCCUUUUUUUUUUUUUUUUUUUUUUUUGCUAUAUUAUUGAGUUUUUUAGCAGAUUCAGUGGACUAGUAAUGCUUGUCUUCCUUUAUUAGCAUUCGAGCAGCGCAAUGUGUAACAUUCCUAAAAAGCACCAUGGCAACAUAUCAGUGUUAUUGCCUUCACGGUCAGCAAUCAGAAGUCUCCAAAGGUAACACGAAAAGCAUCCUGUAUUGUAUCUGUUAUGGAGAUGUGCACGCAGGUUUCCCUUUCCAUUAAGUCUUUGACUAGUUCAGUUAGUUCUGCACUAGGAGUUAACCAAGGCUGUGCCCUCUAGCACUAUGAGACCUGGCACACUCAUUGUCUCUCAGGAAGCGUAGGAGGCUGGUGCUGAUGCUCCCAGGUAAAGCCUAUAAGGGUUUUUGUGAAAGUACCUAAAUCUACACAGUCCUCAGGAGAGCUGUUCUUGGGGAAUAUCCAUUAGUGAUUACAGUCAGCUAAAAUGGUGGUUCUUAAGGGUUUGUUUUUUUUUUUUCCUAGGCUCGUACAGUUACAUUAAGUGUUUCAAAGGCUGAUGCUUCUGGACACAUCCAAUAGAUGUGGUUUGCUUCUCCCUCGCAGCAGCUGGGAUUAAGGAGCUGUGGAACCACCCCAAAUUUUGUGGAGGAGCUGUGUGGAGAAUGGGCACAUGGUUCCCACGUUCAGGUAGCCAAACCACUGCGUCGUGCCACAGAGGAGCAAAUGUGGCGGUGCAGGGUUCUCCCUUGCCCCUCUCGGGUCACUGAGGAUGAGUCCGCUCCCAGCAUGAGUCACCCUGCUGCCAUUUUUCCUUUCAGCCUUUGCCAAGGUCUGAUGACAAGACUGUGAUUUCUCUAAGCUUGUCUUUGUUACAGGUGUGACAUACAGCUCAUACGCUUUCAUUAUGGCUUUCAUAAUGUAUUAACGAAAUGUCAGGAUCAAGUCAUUUAUAAUUAACAGUGACGUGCAAAUGUCAUGUCUAACAGUUAGAGUGUAAGAGUAUUUUUGUGAAUGGGCCCUUUUUUACACGUGCAACUGUCAAUGUCCAAAAAAGCCAUAACCAGUCAAGCAAAUGGUUGGUAAAGACAGAUUUAUUUUUUUUCUUUUGUUUACUCCUUACUGAAUUCUUGAUAGGCAACUAGACCUCAUUGCCUGUUAUUCCUAGAUCCAGUACAGAUACAAAGCUCAAGACAUAAAUAGAAGCCUUUAGAAACAUUUCAAGGAUGAUAAAUGUGGAGUGGAUAAACCCCUGCACAAUACUGAUGUAAAAUUCGUAUGAGCACUGUCUAUAUUUUGGGGACCAAAGACACUAAGGCACGCAGGACAGGAGCUGUACUACCAAACCUGAGGAGAGGAAGAGUGGCUCAAAAAGGUGCCAGCAAAAAUGGCCCCAAGCAGGGAAACUGAUAUACCAGAACCGUUCCCAUUGGAAAGGAAAACCAAAUUGACAUUAUAAGGAAAAGAAAAGAAGGAAUGAGGAGGUAGACUGAGAAAUUCUCAUAGUUUCACAAAGUGAAUAUGAGGAGACACGCAGUGAGAUUAAAUGGUGACAAACUGAAAAUGUUUUUAAAAGCAAUUCUUUUCCAUGAGUAUUUAAUUUAAAAAUGAACUUAAUUGCUUUUAGAAAUUAAUGGGAAGUUUGCAAGUCUAGAACAGAUUAGAUAUUUACUUUUUUAAUAGCCAUACAGAGAAUUAUGGUCAUUCUUUGUAAUAACUUUAGAACUGAGUUUAGACUUGAAGUUUCAAGGUUUAGGAUGAAGUGCACCAGUUCAAGACCGGGGAAUAACCAGUGGGAAGGACAACUCUUGGUUGUCCAAAGCCACUAAUACUUGUCACUAUUGGAGGGGGCGUGUUAGAGAAGUCUGGAUUCUGACCCAGGCUAUAUCUGUCUCCUGCAAAGGAUUAAGCACAUAGUUUGCCACUGAUAAAUAAAAGUGAAGGGUUGAUAGAUGUUUGGCCUUCGCUUGGGCUCGCAUAUUGAAUAACCGCAAUACAGCAGUAUUAGUAAUAAUUAUCCAAUGGCGUGGACCACCUCCAGUCCCUUGCAGUUACCAUGUGCAAUGGGAAAGGAUUGCAUGGGCCACUGUCCAGAAAUAAAAGCAGAGGAAGGUCAGUGACUUAUCCAAGGCCAGGCAGCGUAUCACUGGAAGGGCUGUGUACAAAAGCCAGGUCAGUUGGGUUGCAGAUCUGCGUCUAACCAUACGUCGUGACCUUUUCCUGCCUCAUUAAAUAUGUUUCUUGGAACCUUGGUAUUAGCAGGAAAAAAAAAAAAAAAAAAAAGUUUCAGAAGGAGUGAGGAGGGUUACACCUGGUUCUGCUUUCACACCCACUUUUCAGUAGGUUAGAGCUGGUCUUCACCACGCAAGAGCAUGUCAUACAGGGACGCUUAAGCUGUCGGUGAGUGCUGUGGGAUGUGCUGAGCUCAGGUGUGGUGCUGCACGAGCGACAGCCCUGCUGCCCCGGGAAUCGUACUGGAUGGAGAUGGGUGGUUGCAGCAGCUCAGACUGGUGCUAGAUCUGGGAUGACUACGGUCAGUCCCCUGAGGAGUGUAGGCAGACUGAAGAGUCGAGGUACGCUGGGUCCUCUGCCCCUGAAGAGUGUCGGUAUUCCUUAGCUUAGGUGAGAUUUAAGCAACUGUUGUAAAUAGAAGGUCAAACCCAUUCCUGGAUUAACCCACUGAUGUGGGUUUGUUUUAAAGUUUGUUUUUCUUGCGUUUGAGGUGGCCUCUUAUCUCUUCUGUCAAGGAAUAGCAGUUGUGGCAUCAGAGAGUGGUUUGCAAUAGUGGUGUUUGCAGGCUGUCAGAUCCCACAGCUUCCCCUUGGCUUUCCUUUCAUAAACGAGGUUGUUAGAUUUGGAGGACGGGAUUUUAAAAAAAGAAUGAGGAACAGAAGGAAAAAGAAGAAGGAAAUGGGAAGGGAAGGCGGCAAGACACGAUUGCUCUCUGCUACAGAUUUUGUGGUUUGAGAUGAUUUUGAGAACUGCCCUUCCGAUAGCUUUUGAAAAGUGAAAGGAGAACUUAUAAAAUAAGAACCCUAAGAUAUUUCAGUCACGUGUAUCCCUUCAUUUGGGGGAUAUUCAUUUGGGAUUCAUUCAUAUGGGAGAAUUGAAUGGGAAGUUAAACACUGUGGGUCUUAGUGGAAAAAAAUAAAAUCAGUGUCCUCUACUUAGUAUGUUGGUAAAGAUGUAGUUAGUCUGCUGAAUCAUGUCUGUCUGCAGGGUUCUAGGGUAGAAGUCGCUGGUCAGCAGUCUGUAACCAGGAUCCUGUAAUAAAUCCACAAGGGCCCUGUGUUGGUUGCUGCGUUUCAUAAAGUGACUCCUCAGGACUUCACAUUGGAAUUAAAGAGCUGUCGUCCCUUCCUUCUUCAACAGAAGAGGAGGGUGGCCGUGCUCUGCUGGUGGAAUUGCUAGUGCGAGGGGUUCUGUGAUGCUCUGUUUUAUUUAUAUUCCAACAGAGGGGCAAUUUUCAGUUGCAAAAUACGUAUCCACAGUCUCGUUUACAUGGUGCAUACAGCCUCCUCUCGGGAGGUGUGCACACCAGCUCACUGCUGUGUGUUUUAGAAGAGGUGAGGGUCUCCUAAGACAAUCUGUCUCGGUGCUGUCUAACAUUUUCUAUGUAUGUUUCUAUAUAUGUUUGUCACGUGCCUGUGAAGUAGCGAAUUACGAACCAAGAGUGACUAAUGAGUUGAGGAGCCAGGAAAAGUUAUCUGGAGCAAAGAGAAGUGUGUGAUAACUUUUUAGACUAAUAGGAUGCAAAGGUGAAAGCCUAACAGACUGUGUGCCGUGAGUCAGUCCUGCACCAAAAGUGACUCAAGAGGGGCACCUAGAAAUGAUCCGGGGGAGCACGAGAGCAGGGAUGUGGGGGUGCUGAGUGGGGUAGUUGUGUCAGCUCUUGGUAACAAGGAACUCUCGGUCUGUAUUGAAGUCAAGGGUUAAAUGUUUAAUCCAUGAAUUAGUGUAGGAAUUAAGAAAGUCUACUUGACAUCUGAAAUCACAGGGAGGCUUUUUCUGAGUGAUAAAAAAGCCUCUUCAAAUUAUUUAAAGCAUUCUCUUGCAUUUUAAAACUCAGGGAAGCUUUGCAAGUGAGAUGGGUAAAUUUUGUCUCGGUUAGUAAUAACUUAGUUCACACAAAGGACAGCAGGAUUUUUCUCUUUGUCCUGCCACGGCUUUAAAAGGAGCGAGAUCCUGGUUUCGGUUGCAAAGAAAAUGCUCCCAGUUGCCAUUUCUGUGAAUCCUACUCUGAGCCUCGGUUAUAGAAUCACAUCAUUUGGUCAUCUUGGAGCCUUCUGGGCACUGGGGCUCCAGCGUAGCUUUGAGACCAAUGCUCAAGCAGUGCCUUGAGACCCCCAGAGGCGCCGAAUUCGGAUGUAACUGUUCGCAUUUUUAUUUGCUUCCUGUACGACACAGGCUUGAAAACUCAAUGGUAAUUUCGCUAGAGUAGCGACGAGGACAAAAUGAAUUUCCUUUGCCCGGGUAUCCGAGGGAGGUUUAAAAACUCUAAACAGCACAGGAUUCACUUGGGAAGUUCAGAGUUUAUAAAGCAGCUCCAUUACUUGUUGCGAAGCCCUUGGUCUGCCUCAUGCCGCGCUGCAUUACAUAUUAACGCAGGGUUUGCAUUAUAUAUCAACGCAGCUUUGUCCUCAGAUACCCUACUGUGGAGAAGGCCAUUUUUAAAUCUUUAAUAGGGCAUUAGAGCAAUUUGCCUGUGAUUUAGUUCUAAGUGGGCAAGGAGAGUGGUGACAAACAAAGCCGGGAGGCCCUAAAAUUCUUUGAAUAUUCCAUGUUUUCCUGGAACUGUUGGGAAAAGGCUGCCAGAAAGGUCUUGGCAGGUUUUCUAGGUGACUGGCCAAGUCUGAAGCAAAUGUGGAUAGUUAAUAGGCUAAUGCAGCUGUGGUUCCAAGUCCAUACAUAUACAACAUACGUUUUUAUUUAAGAAAUCCCACCGCAUGGAGGAGCAAAUGUAGUGCUAAUAUAUCUUCCUGAAAGAAAAUAGCAAGGGGAAAAAAAACCACUGUCAUCUUGUCGUGGUAAAAUAAGGGAUCUUUUGCCCUUACUUUUUAGGGACUUGGACUGUCAGUUGAAGAAUGGGAGACGUAGGAAAUGAAAUCGGUAGACAGGCAGGGGCUUUCCCAUGAGGGCUUCAUAUUAAUCAGGAAUGGCUUGUAGAGCAGUAGUUUGUGUCUAAGGGAAAAGGCAGAAGUUGUUCAAAGAAUGGAUUUCUGUUGCUAGAUUGACUUUUUUGUUGUUACCGUGCAAGUAAUUAAAAAUGGCAAUUAAGCAGGAAAGCAAUCAAAUAAUAACCUGGGACCUGCUGCUGCAGUUGGUUCCGUGUGGACACUCUCUUCUAGCGUAAAGUCUGAGGCCACCUCUGUGGGUCAAACCCCAAGAAUUAAGUGCUGCUACUGCAUCACCCCAGGUAUGGGCUGGUUUGGGAGGGGUUGCUCUGGGCACCAAGGUCGGAAUCUGGGCAUCAAGGCCCCCCAGUCGUGCCUGGUGGUCCCAGGCACCCAGGGAAUAGGUGGUUACUGUCACGACUGGCGGUUGUUCCUGCGAAACGUGAGUUCAGAUUUCUCUGAGACACCAGGUGAAUUAGCUUUGUAAUUUUACAGUUGUCUUCGCUGUGAGGGAGCCUUGUUCAUAUUCAGCUCAUGGGGCCUGUCUUGUUUUAUUAUUAAUGGGGCAAAGACUGUGCACAGCCUCUGCCCUUGUAGUGAAACAAUUUAUUAUUUUUAUUAUUAAGCAAUUGGUGCAGACCCUGAAGUUCUGCUGCAGACUCCUUAUGGGAUCUUGGCUGAGUCACUUUUUUUUUGGGUUUGUUUUUAUUCACUAUCUAUAAAAUAGAGGUCCCUGUUCCUCGUAAGGAGUAUUGUAAAGACAGAGGAACUGAUCAUACGUGAAUUGUUCAGAGACAGUCGUGUUGCAUGUCGCACUGGAAUUGCAAGUGAGCAUACUGUGUAUCUCUAUGGAGAAAUAUUUUAUAGGGGCUGCCUCCAUGCUGACAUGCAUUCAUUAGCUGUACGGAGUUCAAACUGACAAUAUUUAUAAUCUAAUACUACUGCUAUACAUACAAAAUCAACUUGAAAAGGUUAUUAUUAUACUUUAAAAAUCCUAAUUGAAGCAUUUCAUUUCUUAUCAUAACAAGUAACGUGAUACUCAGAUUUUUGCAUUCCUCAUUUUCUAUCUCAUAAAAAUGUUACACUGUCUUUUUGCGUUGUAAAACCAAAUAAAUUUAAGUUUAGGCUGUACUAGAGCCUGCACGGCAACCUUCAGUGAUGCAGAAGUGUGGACUGGCACCAGGAGUGGGGAGACUGGCUGCUUCGCUUGCAUCCCGCUGCGAUUUCUGGCACGCAGAGACUGAGCAGGGUCUGAUGGGCCAAACGGUAUCAAAUGAGGAUAACAAAAGUAAUCUGGACAUGGUAGCUCCAAGGACCGUAAAACACUCCAAGGAUAUGGUAAGCACUGUUGUGAUGGUUCUGUAUUGUGGGGAAGCAAGGUAGGAAGAGGUGAAGUGAUUUUCUCACUGAUCUGAUGUGGAAUUGGACAACGGUAUACAGAACAGUGAGGUUCAAACUAGAAGCUUUUGGUUGUUGAACUCCUCACUUGAUGGAGCACUGUCUGGUAACGCCCAAAUCCGUGCACCUUUGCCCAACUUUGCUUCCAUGGAUGUGCCCACACUGUGAAUUUGUGCCUUUCCUCACGUCGUUGGAAUUCAUUUGUAUUAGUAAAUAGUUUUCACUCCACUGAAAACAUUUUACUCAUUUGUAAACUCUUUUCAUUUAUGCUGUCCAUGUAGCUGAGAUUUAACUGUUAUUUUAAAGGUAUUUCUGUAUAAUUUGUCUAGAUGGAAGGUAUUAACUUGUCUCAAAAGGGCCUUAAGGUUUUCUAGUUAAUGCUUAAGUCCCUAAAGCAUCCUCUCUGUCUGAGCAUCCCUUCUCCUAUGUGUCUUCUCCUUCGCUUAUUCCAGCUGGUCUCAGAAAAAAAAAAAAGAGUAAUAGUUGGUCUUUACCCUGCUUUCUGCUGUAACUGUGCACCUACUCAAGUCUCUUCUUCCUUUGAACCUGUCGUUGUGAUUAAAUUCAUUCUUCCUUUCUGUUUUCCAGCUUCUCUCUGCAAACUUCCUCUCACUCCAUUUCCGCAAGAACUUUCCCUGCAAACCAGGAUUAGUGGCGGGGGUACCGAUUUAUUUAGACCCACUUCAGCAUGGUAGCAGGCAAACAGAAUUCUAAGUUACCGAGUUGUUAAAUAGCCUGUAGCACAUGAAAGAAGCUUUAGUGUGCUAGUGCAGUUCAGCAGGACAAGUGUCUCCCUCACAGCUGCUCUGUACAUAGCCCCAUUUCUGGCGUUUGGAUUUUUUUUUUUUUUUUUUUCCUUCUUAACCUGGUAAUAUGAACAGGCGUGCUCAGGACUAAAUGGUCUGCAGAGGCUUGGCCCCUUUUUAAAUAUGAGAAUAAUUUUCAGGCCUCUUUCAGUUGUGCUUAUUUCACUCAAAAAAAAAAAACCAACCCAAACCAAAACCAACAAACCAGAACAAAAGAGAGAAAUAUGAGGAGUUGUGGAAACCCCUCAAACUUCCUCUGUUUAAAUUUCAAAUUCCUGGUGGUCACAGUGCCAGGUGAUUUUGCCAUUUGUGUUUUCUUCUGUAGUGCCUGGCUUGAACGAUCCCAAAGCAGCAAGCUGAGUUAAAUACUAUGAUCAAAAGAGAGCGACGCCUCUAUUUUUUUUUUUUUUUUUUUUUGGAGGCCCUUAUGUUUUGGAAUUUGAGUCUUUGAAAAACAAGGUUACUGGACUCUAGUAAAUGAAGUGUCCGGAUGUUAGUGAUGAUUCAUAAAAGCAAUUAAAAAAAGCGAAAGUGCUUUUCCGCUGAGCGUAAUGUCUUGGUUUGAAGGUGUUCUUCAGUGUGUGUGUAAUUCUGCAAAUAGUAGUCAUUGGAUAGUGACCACUGUGCUGAAGAUUAUGGAUCUGUUUCCAGCAUAACACUUCUUUUCACAUGGUUCUGAUGAUCAAAACUUUUUUUUUUUUUUAAGUAGUUGAAUCUUUCUUAUUUAGUUUCUAGUUCAAAAAUA